rnacentral:rRNA from 1 species
CACGUAGGGGCCAAGCGUUGUCCGGAUUUAUUGGGCGUAAAGAGCUCGUAGGCGGUUCGACAAGUCGGGUGUGAAAACUCCGGGCUCAACCCGGAGACGCCACCCGAUACUGUCGUGACUGGAGUCCGGUAGGGGAGUGGGGAAGUUCCUGGUGUAGCGGUGAAAUGCGCAGAUAUCAGGAGGAACACCGGUGGCGAAGGCGCCACUCUGGGCCGGUACUGACGCUGAGGAGCGAAAGCGUGGGUAGCAAACAGG